AGGGGUUUGGCGUCUGAUUAGCUAGUUGGAGGGGUAACGGCCCGAACAAGGCGACGAUCAGUAGCCCGGUCCUGAGAGGAUGAAGGCCACAUUGGGACUGAGACACGGCCCAGACUCCUACGGGAGGCAGCAGUGGGGAAUCUUCCGCAAUGGACGAAAGUCUGACGGAGCAACGCCGCGUGAGUGAAGACGGUCUUCGGAUUGUAAAGCUCUGUUAUACGGGACGAACGGCAAGGUGGUAAAUAGCCAUCAUGAGUGACGGUACCGUAAGAGAAAGCCACGGCUAACUACGUGCCAGCAGCCGCGGUAA
rnacentral:rRNA from 1 species